rnacentral:lncRNA from 1 species
CCUUUCAGAUUCGUCAACUCUUGAGUACAAUGAAAUGCUGAAGUGGACGUUCGAGACAGAUGUUGCCCUUGGCAAAUCCGGCCAGAGACAGGCAUGUUUCAAAACUCUCGCCGUAUAUCCAGUUGAGCUGCUGUACUUCGGCAUACUUAGCCAACAUGGCAUAGACGAAAUGGAAGUAUAUCUCCAUGGACCAAGGAAAUUCCACAAUGAAGUAACACGAAUCCAAAACCUUAAUCAUUACACAUAAGUGUGUCAAAAUGAAGGCACAAUUUAUGAUCAAAUACAGCGUCGAUUUGACAAUACCCAAAUACAUGUUCUUUCGCUGAAUAAAUGCAGUCAUUUCA